ensembl:lncRNA
AUGAGAGGGUCGGGAAGUUCACGGGUUGAGGGGUCAUCGGAGGGGAAAGGCGUGGAUGGUCUCUGGAGAAAGUCCAGGGGCAGACGGGCAGCACGGUGUCAUCGAGGUGGCGCAAAACUCCACCUAUCAGAGGGCACGAUGGAGCUGUUACCAUAUGGCUUGUACCUAUCCAAUCCUUUCCUAUCCAGAGUAGGGAAUAGGGGUCAAGGUUUUUGGUUUAGGAUUCUGUUUAGUGCUCCCAAUUCUUUGCCUUCGUCCCAAUUCUCUUCCUUGCUCACAUAGUGUGUCCACUUGGCUUGCACACUCCCUGUCGUAGAUUUAAAAGCAUGGGAUUGGUAUAAGCAUUGGCUGGAGGGAGGAGGGGAGUUUCCAGCGUUGCUAAGUCCAUGCAACAACAAAAAAAAGUGUGCAAGUGCACACUUCAGGAGAGGGGAAAAAAAGGGUGGUGAUUCGGGAUGUGGCCUUCAAGCUCUCAUUGACGUUUGACAAGGCCUGUGGGAUGCAUCCCAAAUGGAACCUUGUUCCUUCUAUAGUGCACUACUCUAGAGCCCUGGUCAGGAAUAGGGUGUCUGUUUAGGGAAGAGGAAGAGGGCUCUGGUCAAACGAAGUGGUCUAUGUAGGGAAUAGGGUGUCUGUUUAGGGAAGAGGAAGGGGUCUAUGUAGGGAAUAGGGUGUCUGUUUAGGGAAUAGGGUGUCUGUUUAGGGAAGAGGAAGGGGUCUAUGUAGGGAAUAGGGUGGCCAGAGGACCAUUGUAUUAUGAUGAUGAUGAUGAUGAUGACUGUACAAUGUUUGCUUUACUGUUUGUGCUCAGUUCUAAUCCUUUAGGUUGUUUCCUAAUGGCAGGUCAAGCAAUAAAUCAAAUACAUUCUUACAAAGGGUGUCAACUGUGGUCAUUGAUGGUUUGUCUGAGGUGUGUCUCGUUCUCUCUGUGUGUAUGUCCAUUCUGAAGUCCUUCAUCACCAGAACUCUGCACAAUAGUCACUAACAGAGGAACCCACUGGACACAUGUCAUAUGUCCCAAAUUGCCCCUUAAAUCCCUAUGUGUGCACUACUUUUGACCAGAACCCAUUGGGCCCGUAGUGUACUACAUAGGGAAUAGGGUGUGAUUUUGGGAAGAACACAUUGUCAUUUACGGAGUUCAACUGCUGUCGGGGGGAAAAAAAAAAAACUUUCCCUUUAAACACGUUCGGUUUUUUUUCCGGGAGGUUCCGCCGGGAUUCGACACUGCCUCCCUCCGCUACUGCAGCCUGGUCGCGAGGAGCUGUACCAAUUCACUUAUUAUUAGCGAUAUCAGAAACUAUAAACAAUUUGCCAUUUUAAAACCAGGGAAUAGUCCGUCGUUGGAUACCACCACCCUCUGCGAAAUGCAGGCCAUCAAAUGCGUCGUGGUGGGCGAUGGGUAAGACCUUUUGUGUGUGUGUUUAGGCUGAAAAUGUGUCCUUUUUCGAGUCUGUGAGGGCAAUUGUUGCAGUAAGGGCUGGGGCUAUAGCGGGUUGAAUGGGUCGGCGUUCACUUCUCUAGAAUCCGCUCUCUCAUCAGUGCGUGAGCGUGAAAUGAAUGUGGAGCAAUUACAUUUUUUAUUUUGUUAGCCUACUUUGUGAUUUCAUGUUAUCAAUGCAUUCGCCACAUUUUCCGCCAGGUUUUGCACAAUGCAUUCAUAAGUUCGGGUGUGAAAUAUUCUGUCUGAAAUUGAACUAAUGCUAUUUGAACGUUUCAUUGAAAUAUAAAAACAAUAAAUAACUAAAGCUUCUCGGAUUAACAACAUUUGGAAACCCAUAUUUGUCGGGGUGGGUUUGAGCAGAAUUGUAAAAUAUACAUUAAUAUGUGCAUAGUUGCAGAAAUGUCGCUGGGAGGGCUUGGCUGAGACUCAUUAAAUGAUGUCAUGCUUUCACACCUACACAGCCAGCUCCUACGGAGGCACGGGCUACGGAUGGGCAUGGACACCUAUGCAAAAUGCCGUGUUUUAUAUAGCCUUUCUACCAUAGACAUCUUUGAAAGACAGGUUUAUUUGACUUCUGCUACAUUGUGAUGCGGUGCGGAUGCGGCGUAGAUUUUGGGUAGUGUGUGGAGGUAGGGUGCACUGGACUGCAUAGCAUAGCUAAACAGAGGUGGGGGGGGGGGACUGUCUAGGAUUUUUUUUAGGGGAUGGGCAACACACACACACACAUGCGCAAUAUUGUACAACUACCCUAAUUCAGUCCCAUUCAAAACCCUAUUUUCCCUAACCCGUAAACUAACCCUAGUCUGGGUCCAAAAGCCUUCUUAACAGCUUCUACCCCCAAGACAUAAGACUCCUGACCAGCUAAUCAAAGGGCUACCCAGACCCUCUUAACACUGCUGCUACUCUCUGUUUAUUAUCUAUGCAUAGUCACUUUAACUCUACCUACGUGUACAUAUU